UUUUAUGGAGAGUUUGAUCCUGGCUCAGGAUGAACGCUGGCGGCGUGCCUAAUACAUGCAAGUCGAGCGAACGGACGAGAAGCUUGCUUCUCUGAUGUUAGCGGCGGACGGGUGAGUAACACGUGGAUAACCUACCUAUAAGACUGGGAUAACUUCGGGAAACCGGAGCUAAUACCGGAUAAUAUUUUGAACCGCAUGGUUCAAAAGUGAAAGACGGUCUUGCUGUCACUUAUAGAUGGAUCCGCGCUGCAUUAGCUAGUUGGUAAGGUAACGGCUUACCAAGGCAACGAUGCAUAGCCGACCUGAGAGGGUGAUCGGCCACACUGGAACUGAGACACGGUCCAGACUCCUACGGGAGGCAGCAGUAGGGAAUCUUCCGCAAUGGGCGAAAGCCUGACGGAGCAACGCCGCGUGAGUGAUGAAGGUCUUCGGAUCGUAAAACUCUGUUAUUAGGGAAGAACAUAUGUGUAAGUAACUGUGCACAUCUUGACGGUACCUAAUCAGAAAGCCACGGCUAACUACGUGCCAGCAGCCGCGGUAAUACGUAGGUGGCAAGCGUUAUCCGGAAUUAUUGGGCGUAAAGCGCGCGUAGGCGGUUUUUUAAGUCUGAUGUGAAAGCCCACGGCUCAACCGUGGAGGGUCAUUGGAAACUGGAAAACUUGAGUGCAGAAGAGGAAAGUGGAAUUCCAUGUGUAGCGGUGAAAUGCGCAGAGAUAUGGAGGAACACCAGUGGCGAAGGCGACUUUCUGGUCUGUAACUGACGCUGAUGUGCGAAAGCGUGGGGAUCAAACAGGAUUAGAUACCCUGGUAGUCCACGCCGUAAACGAUGAGUGCUAAGUGUUAGGGGGUUUCCGCCCCUUAGUGCUGCAGCUAACGCAUUAAGCACUCCGCCUGGGGAGUACGACCGCAAGGUUGAAACUCAAAGGAAUUGACGGGGACCCGCACAAGCGGUGGAGCAUGUGGUUUAAUUCGAAGCAACGCGAAGAACCUUACCAAAUCUUGACAUCAUUUGACAACUCUAGAGAUAGAGCCUUCCCCUUCGGGGGACAAAGUGACAGGUGGUGCAUGGUUGUCGUCAGCUCGUGUCGUGAGAUGUUGGGUUAAGUCCCGCAACGAGCGCAACCCUUAAGCUUAGUUGCCAUCAUUAAGUUGGGCACUCUAAGUUGACUGCCGGUGACAAACCGGAGGAAGGUGGGGAUGACGUCAAAUCAUCAUGCCCCUUAUGAUUUGGGCUACACACGUGCUACAAUGGACAAUACAAAGGGCAGCGAAACCGCGAGGUCAAGCAAAUCCCAUAAAGUUGUUCUCAGUUCGGAUUGUAGUCUGCAACUCGACUACAUGAAGCUGGAAUCGCUAGUAAUCGUAGAUCAGCAUGCUACGGUGAAUACGUUCCCGGGUCUUGUACACACCGCCCGUCACACCACGAGAGUUUGUAACACCCGAAGCCGGUGGAGUAACCUUUUAGGAGCUAGCCGUCGAAGGUGGGACAAAUGAUUGGGGUGAAGUCGUAACAAGGUAGCCGUAUCGGAAGGUGCGGCUGGAUCACCUCCUUUCUAAGGAUAUAUUCGGAACAUCUUCUUCAGAAGAUGCGGAAUAACGUGACAUAUUGUAUUCAGUUUUGAAUGUUUAUUUAACAUUCAAAUAUUUUUUGGUUAAAGCGAUAUUGCUUAUGCGAGCGCUUGACAAUCUAUUCUUUUUAAAGAAAGCGGUUGUCAGACAAUGCAUUGAGAAAAAUUAAAGCGGAGUUUACUUUUGUAAAUGAGCAUUUGAUUUUUUAAAAAUAAAGCAGUAUGCGAGCGCUUGACUGAAAAGAAAUUGUACAUUGAAAACUAGAUAAGUAGUAAAAUAUAGAUUUUACCAAGCAAAACCGAGUGAAUAAAGAGUUUAAAUAAGCUUGAAUUCAUAAGAAAUAAUCGCUAGUGUUCGAAAGAACACUCACAAGAUUAAUAACGCGUUUAAAUCUUUUUAUAAAAGAAAACGUUUAGCAGACAAUGAGUUAAAUUAUUUUAAAGCAGAGUUUACUUAUGUAAAUGAGCAUUUAAAAUAAUGAAAACGAAGCCGUAUGUGAGCGUUUGACUUAUAAAAAUGGUGGAAACAUAGAUUAAGUUAUUAAGGGCGCACGGUGGAUGCCUUGGCACUAGAAGCCGAUGAAGGACGUUACUAACGACGAUAUGCUUUGGGGAGCUGUAAGUAAGCUUUGAUCCAGAGAUUUCCGAAUGGGGAAACCCAGCAUGAGUUAUGUCAUGUUAUCGAUAUGUGAAUACAUAGCAUAUCAGAAGGCACACCCGGAGAACUGAAACAUCUUAGUACCCGGAGAAGAGAAAGAAANCGCAACCCUUAAGCUUAGUUGCCAUCAUUAAGUUGGGCACUCUAAGUUGACUGCCGGUGACAAACCGGAGGAAGGUGGGGAUGACGUCAAAUCAUCAUGCCCCUUAUGAUUUGGGCUACACACGUGCUACAAUGGACAAUACAAAGGGCAGCGAAACCGCGAGGUCAAGCAAAUCCCAUAAAGUUGUUCUCAGUUCGGAUUGUAGUCUGCAACUCGACUACAUGAAGCUGGAAUCGCUAGUAAUCGUAGAUCAGCAUGCUACGGUGAAUACGUUCCCGGGUCUUGUACACACCGCCCGUCACACCACGAGAGUUUGUAACACCCGAAGCCGGUGGAGUAACCUUUUAGGAGCUAGCCGUCGAAGGUGGGACAAAUGAUUGGGGUGAAGUCGUAACAAGGUAGCCGUAUCGGAAGGUGCGGCUGGAUCACCUCCUUUCU
rnacentral:rRNA from 1 species